AUAUAUAAAGUAUUUUAACUUUUAUUAGAAAA
rnacentral:tRNA from 1 species